CUACGGGCGGCUGCAGUGGGGAAUAUUGGACAAUGGGCGAAAGCCUGAUCCAGCAAUGCCGCGUGAGUGAUGAAGGCCUUAGGGUUGUAAAGCUCUUUUACCCGGGAUGAUAAUGACAGUACCGGGAGAAUAAGCUCCGGCUAACUCCGUGCCAGCAGCCGCGGUAAUACGGAGGGAGCUAGCGUUGUUCGGAAUUACUGGGCGUAAAGCGCACGUAGGCGGCUUUGUAAGUUAGAGGUGAAAGCCUGGAGCUCAACUCCAGAAUUGCCUUUAAGACUGCAUCGCUCGAAUCCAGGAGAGGUCAGUGGAAUUCCGAGUGUAGAGGUGAAAUUCGUAGAUAUUCGGAAGAACACCAGUGGCGAAGGCGGCUGACUGGACUGGUAUUGACGCUGAGGUGCGAAAGCGUGGGGAGCAAACAGGAUUAGAUACCCCAGUAGUC
rnacentral:rRNA from 1 species